GGUAGGUGGCUCAGUGGUAGAGCGCUUGCCUUGCAUGCAUGAGGUCUUGGGUUCGAUUCCUCAGUACCG
rnacentral:tRNA from 1 species